rnacentral:rRNA from 1 species
UACGAAGGGGGCUAGCGUUGUUCGGAAUUACUGGGCGUAAAGCGUAUGCAGGCGGAUCUUUAAGUCAGGGGUGAAAUCCCGAGGCUCAACCUCGGAACUGCCUUUGAUACUGGAGAUCUUGAGUCCGGGAGAGGUUAGUGGAACUGCGAGUGUAGAGGUGAAAUUCGUAGAUAUUCGCAAGAACACCAGUGGCGAAGGCGGCUCACUGGUCCGGUACUGACGCUGAGGUGCGAAAGCGUGGGGAGCAAACAGGG